rnacentral:misc_RNA from 1 species
UUUCCGUAGGUGAACCUGCGGAAGGAUCAUUAAAAAAUUGGACUCCAUUGGUGAGUUCAUUAAUAAUCCCUACCCUUUGUGAAUUUGUUUGUUUGAAUAAUUUUCUUUCCAAAAAAAAUUAUUGAAUGUCUUUCCUUGUUUUGGUGGAGCUUGUAAAGUGAAACCAGGCAGGGGAAUGGCAAACAAUAAUUAUUUUUGAAAAAGACCUUUUUUUAAAAUUAAACUUUUUGUAUUCAUUUGUCUAAAAUUAUUUUUAUAAUAUAAAAACAACUUUUGACAAUGGAUCUCUUGGUUCUCGCAACGAUGAAGAACGCAGCAAAAUGCGAUAAGUAGUGUGAAUUGCAGAAUACGUGAAUCAUCGAAUCUUCGAACGCAUAUUGCACUUUUUUAGUUUACUAAAAAAGUAUGUCUGUUUGAGUAUCAGUAAAAUAUUCUCAUAAAAACAUUUAUUUUUUUAUGGUUAUGAGUGUUUUACAACGAUAACAAGUUGUUUCACUUUAAAUUCUUUGUUAUCAAAAAAAUCAUUAAAAGCUAAUUUUAAAGAUUUUUUAAAAUUGGAUAAAAUUUUCCCGUAAAAAGGAAUAACCUAAACAAUUUUAAAAAAUUAAAAUUGGUUUGAUUUUUCUUGAUAACAAAGGAAAAAAAAACGAAAUUAACUUGAUCUCAAAUCAGAUAAGAGUACCCGCUGAACUUAAGCAUAUCAAUAAGCGGAGGAAAAGAAACUAACUAGGAUUCCCUCAGUAACGGCGAGUGAAGCGGGAAGAGCUCAAAUUUGAAAUCUUCAAGGUUUUACCUUGACGAAUUGUAGUUUAAAGAAGUGUUUUCUGUUGGAGUUUUGGUAAAAGUUCUUUGGAAAGGACAUCAUAGAGGGUGAGAAUCCCGUAUUUGACCAUUAUCUCCAGCUUUGUGAUACACUUCAAAGAGUCGGAUUGUUUGGGAAUGCAGUCCAAAAUGGGUGGUAAAUUUCAUCUAAAGCUAAAUACUGGCGAGAGACCGAUAGCGAACAAGUACCGUGAGGGAAAGAUGAAAAGAACUUUGAAAAGAGAGUUAAACAGUACGUGAAAUUGUCAAAAGGGAAGCGUUUGACACCAGUGUUGUUUUCUCGAAAAUCAAUUAAAAAAGGCCGGAUUUUGUGUUGUAUUGACUUUAUCAGCUUUCUGCACUUUUUUCUUGUCUUUUUUAAUGCACUUUUCGUUUAACAAGUCAACAUCAAUUUCUUUUGUUGUAAAAGGGUCAUUGGAAGGUGGCUUUCUUUUCGGAGAAAGUGUUUAUAGCCUUUGGCCUCUGCAAUCGGAGAGAUUGAGGUCUGCAGCGUAGAUCCUUCGGGGUUAGAUACAUUUGUGCUAAGUUAUAGCCUUUCAUAGACAACUUGUUGACUAUGAUCAGUCAUGUAGCUUACUCGCUUAUGCUAUUU